GGGGGGGGGGGGGGCGGCAGACGCGGCAGCAGAGUGCUGCGAGCUCCGCUGCAAGCCAGCGGCGAAUUAAUCGGGAGGAGCAGCAGAGCAGCAGACCCUUCCCUCCCCCCCCUCCCUCCCCGCCCCGUUCCCUCCCCGGAGGAAUUACAGACCCUUCGCAACAAGCUCCUGGGCUUUGACCUUCAGCAAACCGGAUCGCCUUCCUCGCCCCCCGCAGCCCCCCCUGCUCACACACACCCCCCCCCACACACACACCUCUCCCGGAUCCCCCUCCCCCUGCCUUGGGCUGGGCAGCGCCGGGGGAAGGUUCGCAGCGCGCGCGCACCCAGAGGAGGAGGGAAAAGAGGAGGAAAGGGAGGAAAAAAAAAAAAAAAAAAAAAAAGGAAAAGGAUUUACAAAUUCGCUGGGUGGUUUUUGUUGUUGUUGUUGUUGUUGUCGUCGUCCUCCUCCCCCCCGCCCCCGCCGCGAUGGCAGGGCGGCUCGGAGGGAUGCGAGGAGAGCUGCGGGGGGAGGAGGCGGGGUGCUGAGCGCUCCGCUCGCCCCGCUGCUGCUGCUGCUGCUGCUGCUGCUGCUGCUUUGUGUGUGUGUCCUGGAUUCGGCUUUUUUUUUUUUUUUUUUUUUUUUUUUUUUUUUUUUUUUUUUGGAGAAGGAGCUUGUGGCAGCCGCGCCGAGGAGAGGAAGAGGAGGAGUAGGGGGGGAGCCUUUUUAAUUCAUUUUCGAUACAAAUUCUGCAUUUCGAGCCUCUGCAGGCAGCCGGACUCGUGGUGGCGGCGGCGGUGUUGUUGUGGGUGGUGGUUGUGCGUGGGGUGUCCCCUCCACCCUCCCCGGUGGAGCGGGGAGCGGAGCCGCGGGGAUCCCGCCGGGGCAGCCCCGUCCCCGCGCGGGGGGACGGCGGAGCUGUUGUUGUUUUGUAAUAGGAUUGUCUGGGUCGCGCCCCCCCCCCCUUCCCCUCCCUCCGCGGCCCUCCCAGUUUUUGUGUCUCUGUGUGUGUGCGUGUGUGCGGUGUUUGAAAAUGGAGGUUGA
rnacentral:lncRNA from 1 species